rnacentral:rRNA from 1 species
GACGAGGGAUCCUAGCGUUGUUCGGAAUUACUGGGCGUAAAGCGCACGUAGGCGGAUAUUUAAGUCAGGGGUGAAAUCCCAGAGCUCAACUCUGGAACUGCCUUUGAUACUGGGUAUCUUGAGUAUGGAAGAGGUAAGUGGAAUUCCGAGUGUAGAGGUGAAAUUCGUAGAUAUUCGGAGGAACACCAGUGGCGAAGGCGGCUUACUGGUCCAUUACUGACGCUGAGGUGCGAAAGCGUGGGGAGCAAACAGG